AACGAACGCUGGCGGCAUGCCUAACACAUGCCAGUCGAACGAGACCACCGGGACUAGUGGCGCAUGGGUGCGUAACGCGUGGGAACCUGCCCUUAGGCUUGGAAUAACUCUCCGUCGGGGGUGAUAAUACAGGGUAAUGUACUCGGAUAAAAGAUUGAUCGUCUUUGUAUGGGCAGGCGUUGGAUUAGCUAGUUGGUAGGGUAAAAGCCUACCAAGGGGAGGCUCCAUAGCUGGUCUGAGAGAAUGGUCAGCCACACUGGGACUGGGACACGGCCCAGACUACUGCGGGAGGCAGCAGAGGGGAAUAUUGGACAAUGGGCUGAAGCCUGAUCCAGCUAUGCCGCGUAAGUGAUGAAGUCCUUAGAGAUAUAAAGCUCUUUUACCCGCGAUGAUAAUGACAGUACCGAGAGAAUAAGCACCGGCUAACUCCGUG
rnacentral:rRNA from 1 species